rnacentral:lncRNA from 1 species
CACUUUUAUGCAGUAUACACUUUAAUUUUCAGAAUGUGGAUCUGAAUGUCAGUUGCAACUAGUGGGGUUUGGACUCAAACAGGAGAUGAAAACUUGUGCCAGCGUACAGUCAUCAUUUGCCACUGCUGAAGACCAAAACACAGCUUUUGCUGCCACAUUCAGCUGUUGUUGGCUGAUAUGAUCACCAUUUGAUGUAAGAUCCUUUCUGCCAUUGAAUACCAAGAUAAAAUCAAGUUUUGAAAGAGUAUUCUCCCUCAAGUUGCUUCUAGUUCUUGGUCUCUAUUUUGACUCAAUCACAAAAAGUUUCUGGACAACGAGCCACCUAUCCUCAGUUUAGCAUUGUGCCACCAUUAUCCAUGCUAGUGUAGUUGCUGCAAUCUGACACCACUCUCCCUAAUGUCAGAGCUGCAGUUCUUCAUAAUGCUACUCUAACACAGUAAUAGCUGCUGCUAUGAGUUUCACUAUCCUGGUGGUCUUAGAUGACUAAAGCUGCUUUAGAUUUUACUAUUAUGAUGGUCAAAGAUGACUAAAAAUACAACCUUGUCAGAGUCAGAGAUGUUAGUCAAAGCACAAGGUACGGAUACUUCAACGAGAAAUAUCCAUUCUUUGAGAUGUUAAAGCCUGGAAAAGCAGACAUAUAUACUAUCUUAUAGGUCUAUUGUGCAAAGACUAGCCAAUCUGCUGUGAAUUGGAUGAGUGUAGAGAUGAAAAAAGAACUAAAGUUACAUGAAUUAAAAUUAGGCCCCGAACUCUGCUUAAGGACCGCUCCCAGAUGUAGAAUAUGAUCGAUUACAGCAACUAGGUGCAUCAGGCAAGAUGAAGUACCCAUUGUCUAUAAGAUAAAUUAUUCUUAACCAACCACCAAAUUGAUACUCCAAAUUUGCAUAUAACCGCUACAACAUAAGUACUCUGAUUCCUGACUCAUUUAGAAAUAGAAAUAUGGCAAAUCCCCCCUCCCCCAGUGUCUUCAUGUUCUUGUGCUGGUUCCCUCCUCCUGUAGGCUUCAAAGCCCAUCUUUCAGCACUCCAGCAUUUUUCACAUCACUGCCCUCUAUCAAACCCCAAAAGUAGUAACUCAAAUUUCAUCAACUGUCCUCUGCAAUGCUUAAUUCUUAAUUCUAAUUCUAACUAAUUUCAUCAAUUAACAUUGUAGUAUAUGCUAAUAGCGUACAUCAUGGCAUUUCAUAAAUGUGUUAAAUUAACUCAUCUAAAAAGAAUUUGGAACAUAUACAUGCUUUUGGCUUAAUCGGCUAAUAUACACUAUUAUUGGAAACUUAGCUUUUUAUCAUUGUGUACCCUUACCACAUCACCGUACUUCAUGCAUGCUAGUGAUGAUAUCUACAAUGCAACUUAAGUAUUCCUUUCCUUAACAUCCACGAACUGGGAACCUGCUAGUCUUAGAACAGCCACUUCUAGCACACAUCAUUGCCCCUUUCUAUAUGUCUAGAAGAAUCAAAAUGUGUCGCUUAUGCCCUAAGACCCACUGAUGAUUCAUCAUGUUUCACCAAUUUUUGAACAUAUAGAUUUUUGUAUUUAACUAAAUGUUCUUUUCAGAAGAACCACGAUGGCUGACUAUUUAGCAAAAAGCUAUUGUAGCUAUUUGCUCAAUCUAUUCACUAAGUUAAUGAUGUGGUCCAUUAGUUAAAUUGCAUGAAAAAAGACAGCCAUCGCUAUUUCAUAGGACCUCCUAUAUUUUCAUUAAAGGGCACCAUGGUGCAAAUAAAAUUUAGCCAUUUGUCAUUUCUUUGUUUCAAAUCUCACUGAAUAAGCUAUGGACCAAACCCAACAACUUUUCUUUUUUCUCGUGAUUUUCUAUUUAUUGAUUGUGAUAUUCUUUAGUCCUAAAGCUUCACUCUUUAGCGUCCAUAUUGUUGCUACAUGCAUUAUAGCCAUCCAUAUUGAAUUGCAUGCAAGUUUCCAUGCUGAUUACAACUUUUCUACUCUGUACCCCUAAUACAGUUGCCAUUAAACUGAAUUUGAUAAAAAAAAUCCCACUAUUUCUUGGUGUUAAAAUGCUAUUGAUGCCCAGCUUUCUCCAAAUACCAGCAGGCGAUCUUAACCCACAGUGUUCUGUAUCCUCAUUAAAUUCCCAGGCUCCCAGGUUUUUAAUAUUUUGCACAAGUUAGCUUUUGAACCAACCCUCAUUUGUUUCCUAUUUUUAAGUGAUAUUUGUUUCUUGCUUCUCAAUGAUGAUGAGGUCAUAAUUUACAAAUCUUUUAUUCUCGGUAUGCAUAAUUAUAUAAGAUAACAAGGUAUAUAUGAUACUUUCUCGUGGAUAUUUCAAUUACUUAAAAAUCUUGAACUUUUUGGAGGUUUUCAUUUUGAUCCUAAACUUCAAUUUGUUGCAAUUAAGUCAUCAAAUUUUUAGAAUAUUGCAAUUUCUCCUUAGCUACUACUUCCGUCUAACAGCUGUGAUGGAAAUGGUCAUGCACUGUCACGUGACAUAUAGUGAAAAUUGAUAUUGCAUGAAAUAGCUGAUGUGCAACCUUUGUAAACUCUUUCUUCCUCCUUUUCCGCUUCUAAUUAGGAAUUUUAUUUUCCACUUCAUCCUUUCCUCUUUACCAGUACCUCCUCUAAAACCCCACCACCUCCUAUACCAUUAUCGGUACCUCUACCUCCCUAAACAUCUAGAAGAGGAGAUACAAAGGGUACAAAUUUUGGAGAAGAUAGUAUUGGAUCAAAAUGAAGAAAAAUGGAAAAUGGGAACCCUAGCUAGAAGAGGAAAAAAAGGGGAAGAAAGAGUAAACCCUAGCUAGAAGAGAAGGAAAAGAGGAAAGAAGGAAUUUAAAUCCUAGCUAUAAGAGGAUGAAAACGAAGAAGGAGUUUAGAAUUCCACAUCAGCUAAUUUCAUGCCAUAUCAGCUUCCACUAAGUGUCAUGUGAUGGCACGUGACCAUUUCCAUCACGUUCUUUAGACAAAAGUAGUAGUCAAGGGAGAAAUUACAACGUUUUAAAAGUUCAAUGAUCUGAUUGCAACGAAUUGAAGUUCAAAAUAAAAACAAAAAUCCUCAAAAAGUUUAAGAUUUUUAAAGUAAUUAAGCCUAAACCUUAUUGGAAUAUUGCAAUGGUUGGACUUGAAAAUUCAAUAAAAAAUAUCCUAGAAAACCCAGAUUAAAUUGUUUUCUGAUAUCCCAAAAGCAUAUACAGAAUUGGUAGGUCAUAAAAGAAUUUGCCAGCUGACCGGACAACCUGCAGGGUAAAAUCAUCGUGAUGUGAGAAAGAAAUACCUCAAACGUAUCAAAAGCACACCAACAGCUGAGUAAUAGGCGAUAACAAUGAUGCUACACAAUUGUUUGACCUUACAUUGGUUAAAAGCCACCCCCCACCCCUGCGCACGCAUACCACCCACAACCCCCAAAACAACCCCCCCACCAACCCCCCCCCCCGCGGCCCGCCAACACCCCUCCUCUUCUCUCUAUCUGACGUAAGUAAUCUGCCAUGCCAUAGAGACUCGUAGAAGCCACUACAUUUGAAAUGAUGUUAAAUCAGCAAGCAUCUCUAUGCUACAUGAGAUAUCACGUUGGCCACGGGGAGGACAAGUCAAAACAUAAUUGCAAGAGAAUGCUCACAAAAAUAUGCAUCUAUUUUUCCGAUUAAAGAGUAAAAUCAGGAGUGGAGAAAUGAUCCAAAUGUAAUGUUCUGGAAUUAUUUUUACCAGAAGGCGGUGACGGAGGUGAAAUCGCUGGUGGACGCCAUGACGGAGAGAGCAGCGGCCGCGAAUAUGAAUUGGC